rnacentral:lncRNA from 1 species
UUGAAAUUCAUACAUGCUCGUAAAUCAGAAAGAGUGAUAUAUUUUAUGUGACACCCCCAAACCCAAGUACUUCAUUUCCACAGGAUUUGGUGUUCACUUAAUCAAACAUUCAUAUCUAACUACCCAAUCACAAUAGAACUGGAUAAAUAAAACCUUCCCCAUUAAAGGGUUACAUAAAAAAAAUCUCCCAGGUUGUCUAGCCUUUAAAAGCAAUCAUUCAAAUGCGAAAAAUAAAUAAUCUUUAUUACAACCAUUCCAUUAAAAACUGAUAAUAAAAUAUCAUCAAAUUACAAGUCUUCAAUACUUGUUCAUCUUUCCUUUUCCCUUACUGGUGUUAGGUACAUCAACCUUCUCAUCCUUAACUAUAAUAAUUAUAUAAGCAAGAGUCAGCAAACAAAGCUCACUUGAUACAAUAAUGAAUGAAAAACAUUUACAACAAAUGUUAAAUAAGAGGCUCACUAGAUUUUAACAAUUACGAUUUGUCAACAAUCUGAAGUAAAUAAUUGAGGGUCCUAAGACCACGAACUAUGUCCAUAGUUAUAAGUAAUGUUUCAACUUAAACUUUAACAGUUAUAAGACUAUAGGGACUCCUCGUACUUAGGGGGAUCAGCCCUUCGUACAAAGUAUUGUGUACAAACAUUUCAACGCUAAGCGUAAGUUACCCCUAAUAAUAGGGUUGAUCAUCUCAGUAUUUAGAGUACAAGUCCGCACCAAAGUGAGUUUGGCUUGGAUACAUUUCAGGGUAAUUUAGAAUUCAACGAACAUCAACUAAGGAUUAGUUGAAUAAAACCAAUAACAUCGUACUAUAGAAUAAUCGUAAUUGAAUCAACAUGGCAAACCUAUAUCAUGCUUUAGGAAUAAUCUAAUAGCAUAUACUUUGAAUAACUAUAACAUGUCUUGCUUGAACAAUAUUAAGUCAAGGUUAAUUAGAAUUGAGUACUAAGCAUGCAUAGUAGUUUGAACGAUAAAAUUGUUCGACAUUAGUAUAAAUAGUUGUCCAUGUUAAACAACAAGUUAAAUACAAGAAUAACUUGUCAACAUCAAACCAAAGUUUAGAAAGCUUGCAUCAUUUAUAAGGUAAUCGAAUUGAAACAAUAAAUACUCAACAAGAUAAAGAAUUAGAAAACUUGCAUCAUUUAUAAGGUAAUUGAAUUGGAAACAAUAAUUGCUUCAAUAAGAAAAUAAAUUAGAGAACUUGCCUUGCUCGUGGGCUAAACCGAACAAUUCAAAUCACAAUAUCCUAUAAACAUAUGUCAUCAUGACAUAAUUAGUCACUACCACUUUACAAACUUAACUAACUACAUUCGUCAUGUAGGUUUGAUUAUUUAAUCACAUAAUCAAGUUAUAACACAAGUUAAUCGUUAAUAACAUACUUAUUCAUAGUAUAGAAAUACUAAAAUCAACAUUUUACAGUCCUACUAUCAUCACAUAACAAUUAUUUAAAAUUUCGAGUACAAAAAGUACACUGUCAGACCAUUCUGCUAACUCACGCUGCGGCGCCACAGUUUAUACUGUGGUGCGGCGUUGCGGCGCGAGAAUAACGCUACAAGGCCACGCUGUAGUGUGGCGCCGGCGCUGCGGCGUGAAAGAUGAACUACUAGGCAGCGCCGCGGUGCCAAACUGCAGUUUCGACUGAUAGCUUCGGUAACAGUAUAAGAAAAAGCCAAUUUUGGCCUAAAAGUUCCUUUCUAACAGCCUAAUUCACAUGCAAUUCAUACAAAAGACUUUAUGUAAACAUAAUUCAAAGAUUGUAAACAUGUUUCUACUCAUAAAACAAUAUAAACAACAAAUUUAACACAUAUAAUUUCACUAUUUUUGAUAAAAACUCACUUUUUGAUGUUUUUGAUGAAAAUAAACACUGUGAUUUUGUUUUUCAACUAAAACAGUUAAUUCAAAGCAUUUUAUCAAUGUUUAUACAUACUCUAUCAAACUCAACAGUCAAUUUAUCAAUUAAACAACUAAUUACCCUUUUUCCUUUAAACUAAACAAUAUAUAUAUACACAAAAACUCUCUGUAAAAUAGCUUUUCUUCACAACCAUAUACAUAAUACAAAUUCAUGGACUAUUCUCCAUUAUAGCUUAAGAAAAUAGUUUAAAAACACUAGAUUAUCAUAUAAAAUCAUAUACGUAACAAAUAAUUUAUCCUUACACGAGGAUUUUACAGAGAAUUAGGGAAGAGAAAAAACUAAACCUUUAAAACUAAAAAGAAUAUGAUAAUACCUUGAAGAAGAAGAUGAUGGCUAUUCCCUUUUUUUUUUAUUCUCAAGCUUUUCUUCUCCAAUCUCCUGGCCUUUCUUCCUUUCUUCUUUUCUUCUUUUCUUCUUCUUCUUCUUCUUCUUCCUCUGAGUUUUUCUCUUUUCUUCCUAACUCUAACUACGUAUUAUAGGAUAUAAUAUAUAUUAAUUGUAUAAUAUAACUCUAAUUUAGCUGACAUCAGUUAUUUUAUUUUGAAAAUCAAAAGCCAUAAGGCUUGUUUGGCUAACCACUAACAAAAAUAAUCAAUUAAUCCUUACGCCUUGUUUGGUAAAACACAAUUAGAUUAAAGACUUGAUAGGCAUUAGGCCUUGUUUGGCAAAACUGAAUUAUAACUCCUUUAAGUUAUUUUAAUAACUACUUUAUAAAAGGUUAUUUGUCACACUUUUAAUAAAUUAAAUUAAUCUUAAUAACAAUAUAUUAAAUUACUUUAACACAUAAAUCAAUACCACAAAAUUAUAAUUUUCUAUAUAAUUAUAACUUUAUUUAACCAACUAACACAUCCUUUUAAUUACAAAAUUCAAACAAAAAGAAUAAUAAUUCAAUUAAUCAAAACUCUCUAACUUAAUAAUUAAAUUAAAUUAGCAAAUAUAAUAAUUUCCUUAAUUAUUUAUUUAACAGAUAGUUAACCAAAUUGAAUCAAAUUUGAACAAUUACAAAUUCAACCAUAAACACAUC